UCCGUAGGGUGCGAGCGUUAAUCGGAAUUACUGGGCGUAAAGCGUGCGCAGGCGGCUUCGCAAGUCAGACGUGAAAUCCCCGGGCUUAACCUGGGAAUGGCGUUUGAAGCUACGGAGCUGGAGUGUGGCAGAGGGAGGUAGAAUUCCACGUGUAGCGGUGAAAUGCGUAGAUAUGUGGAGGAAUACCGAUGGCGAAGGCGGCCUCCUGGGCCAACACUGACGCUCAUGCACGAAAGCGUGGGGAGCAAACAGG
rnacentral:rRNA from 1 species